AUGGGGUCUGGAGAGAGAGGCAUUGAUGUGCUGAGGCUGCUCUCUGGCCACUGGGACCUAGAGGUAGGAGCUGACUCCAGAGGCCACAUCCCUCUCUGGAAGAUUCAACAUGCAAAGGAAGAGGAAUUUUGGAAUGAAGAAAGCCACUGCUGGCCCCUGAGUCCAGAGGAAGCUCCCUCCCUGGCGCUAAUAUCCACAGAUAUGGUGGUUGGAGCCCCAGCAGCCAUUUUGGACCAUGAGGAUGGAAACCAUGGAAUAAGUAUGGUGUGGCAGAAAGACCAAAGGAGGCUGAGUCCCUGAUAAUAUAAUGGAGCUGCUGCACCAACUCUUAACUGUCUGACUCCAGACUUCUUUGAUUUGAGAGACUAAACCGCGGAUUUAUUUAAGCCACUGUUGUCAAUAAAAAGCAGUUAGGAAUACAGUUCCUAGAAGGCACAUUCAUAGUUUCAUUUCACACUAGAAAAAUGGAAUAAAAUGUGUUAUAAGUUGUUUGUGGGGGGGAGGGGGCUUGCUUUUUUCCCUUGAGGUGAUAAAAGCAACAUGUUCUCAGUAUUUACCAGCAAACCAAAGGCAAAGUUCAUUGUCACAAUGUGAGGAGCCCCACUGAGACAACUAUUUAUUGGCCUAAAUUGGUUUUUCAGAUCUCUGGUGCUGAACACUGGGAGGUGGUGUGAGAGGGUGAGGAGACUGCGUAUGUCUACCUAGGAAGGGGACUAAACAGGAAGGAGACCAGCAGCCCAUCUUAUCCUUGGAAAGGUGGGUUUGUAUUUCUGCCCCUAGUACAGGUAGGUAGGUGUGAGAUCCACCUUGAAUCUAUGGGAAAGCUGAGUAUAUGCCCUGGACUGGGAUAUGGUGUAGAUGGGUCCGGGGUCAAAUCUUGUGACCAGAAUUUAGCCCAGUGGCCUUAAUUCUUGGUCCCAAUUUCCCCCACC
rnacentral:lncRNA from 1 species